AGUACGGCGAGUGAGCGGCAAAGCUCAAUUUGAAAUCCCCCGGAAUUGUGUUUGAAGAGAUUUGGGUCCGGCCGGCGGGGGUUAAGUCCACUGGAAAGUGGCGCCACAGAGGGUGACAGCCCCGUGAACCCCUUCAACGCCCUCAUCCCAGAUCUCCAAGAGUCGAGUUGUUUGGGAAUGCAGCUCUAAGUGGGUGGUAAAUUCCAUCUAAAGCUAAAUACCGGCGAGAGACCGAUAGCGAACAAGUACA
rnacentral:rRNA from 1 species